UAUAGACCCUUUGCAAACACGUGACUACGACCACGUGACGACACCAUGACGGACGGCAGAAUCACCGGAAGCACAAGCUGAACAGUAGUAGACGAGCGGGAAGUUUCAAUCAGUUUAAAAUAAAUAACACUAAACUUUAUGGCUUCUUCUAUUGAACAAGCUGUCGUGCCGUUAUCGGUCGAGGUAGGGCAUCUGGUAGGUGCUCACAAAGAACGGUAUUUGGUUGGAGAUCGCAGGAUUGGAUACCGACCCUUACCUUCUUCCUCCCUCCGUUUUCACGGACGUCUGGAUGCUUACCAGUUCUUUGUAGCUGGCUGGGUUACAGGUACGCGAUGCUACGCUCACGGCGGGGGGAGGUACCUCAUAAUGGCAAAGCCACUUCAACAUUGUAAAUAAACCGGAAGCUGUCUGCCUCUGACCUUGAGAAAAAAAAUGUGAUGCGAAGUCACACCAGAGCAGAUGGGGAUGUGAACAUGAACAAAAAGCCAGAGAGACGUAUGAGGCUUAUGCUGCACAACAGCAUCAGGACCUGAGU